rnacentral:tRNA from 1 species
GGUGGGGUCGCAUAGUGGACUAGUGCAUACGCUUGGAAAGCGUACGUGCCCGAAAGGGUACCGUGGGUUCGAAUCCCACCCCCACCG